rnacentral:rRNA from 1 species
GUGUCAGCAGCCGCGGUAAUACGAAGGGACCUAGCGUAGUUCGGAAUUACUGGGCUUAAAGAGUUCGUAGGUUGUUAAAAAAGUUGGUGGUGAAAUCCCAGAGCUUAACUCUGGAACUGCCAUCAAAACUUUUUAGCUAGAGUAUGAUAGAGGAAAGCAGAAUUUCUAGUGUAGAGGUGAAAUUCGUAGAUAUUAGAAAGAAUACCGAUUGCGAAGGCAGCUUUCUGGAUCAUUACUGACGCUGAGGAACGAAAGCAUGGGUAGCGAAGAGGAUUAGAUACCCUCGUAGUCCAUGCCGUAAACGAUGUGUGUUAGACGUUGGAAAUUUAUUUUCAGUGUCGCAGCGAAAGCAGUAAACACACCGCCUGGGGAGUACGACCGCAAGGUUAAAACUCAAAUGAAUUGACGGGGACCCGCACAAGUAGUGGAGCAUGUGGUUUAAUUCGAAGAUACGCGCAGAACCUUACCAACACUUGACAUGUUCGUCGCGACUCUAAGAGAUUAGAGUUUUCGGUUCGGCCGGACGAAACACAGGUGCUGCAUGGCUGUCGUCAGCUCGUGUCGUGAAAUGUUGGGUUAAGUCCCGCAACGAGCGCAACCCUCACUUUUAGUUGCCAUCAUUUAGUUGGGCACUCUGAAAGAACUGCCAGUGAUAAGCUGGAGGAAGGUGGGGAUGACGUCAAGUCCUCAUGGCCCUUAUGUGUUGGGCUACACACGUGCUACAAUGGCAUCUACNAUAGGAAGCAAGGCGGCGACGUCAAGCAAAUCCUAAAAAGAUGCCUCAGUUCGGAUUGUACUCUGCAACUCGAGUACAUGAAGCUGGAAUUACUAGUAAUCGCGGAUCAGCGCGCCGCGGUGAAUACGUUCCACGGGGUCUUGCACACACCGCCCGUC